rnacentral:rRNA from 1 species
CCUACGGGAGGCAGCAGUGGGGAAUAUUGGGCAAUGGGCGCAAGCCUGACCCAGCAACGCCGCGUGAAGGAAGAAGGCUUUCGGGUUGUAAACUUCUUUUAUCAGGGACGAAGCAAGUGACGGUACCUGAUGAAUAAGCCACGGCUAACUAAGUGCCAGCAGCCGCGGUAAUACGUAGGUGGCAAGCGUUAUCCGGAUUUACUGGGUGUAAAGGGCGUGUAGGCGGGAAAGCAAGUCCGAUUUGAAAACCAUGGGCUCAACCCGUGGCCGGCAUUUGAAACUGUUUUUCAGGAGUACGGGAGAGGCAGACGGAAUUCCUAGUGUAGCGGUGAAAUGCGUAGAUAUUAGGAGGAACACCAGUGGCGAAGGCGGUCUGCUGGACAGCAACUGACGCUGAGGCGCGAAAGCGUGGGGAGCAAACAGGAUUAGAUACCCUGGUAGUC